rnacentral:rRNA from 1 species
GACGAACGCUGGCGGCGUGCUUAACACAUGCAAGUCGAACGAAGUGGCGCACGGGUGAGUAACGCGUAAUCAACCUGCACUUCAGAGGGGGACAACAGUUGGAACCGACUGCUAAUACCGCAUACUGAAGGACGGGGUUGGGUCUGAUUAGCAAGGUGGAGGGGUAACGGCCCACCAAGGUGAGGAUCAGUAGCCGGUCUGAGAGGAUGAACGAGCACAUUGGGACUGGUGCACGGCCCAGACUCCUACGGGAGGCAGCAGUGGGGAAGCUGCCGCAAAUGGCGAAAGUCUGACGGAGCAACGCCGCGUGAGUGAUGACGGCCUUCGGGUUGUAAAGCGCUGUUAAUCGGGACGCGGUACCGGAAUAGAAAGCCACGGCUAACUACGUGCCAGCAGCCGCGGUAAUAC